GAUGAACGCUGGCGGCGUGCCUAAUACAUGCAAGUCGAGCGAACAGACGAGGAGCUUGCUCCUCUGACGUUAGCGGCGGACGGGUGAGUAACACGUGGAUAACCUACCUAUAAGACUGGGAUAACUUCGGGAAACCGGAGCUAAUACCGGAUAAUAUAUUGAACCGCAUGGUUCAAUAGUGAAAGACGGUUUAGCUGUCACUUAUAGAUGGAUCCGCGCCGCAUUAGCUAGUUGGUGAGGUAACGGCUUACCAAGGCAACGAUGCGUAGCCGACCUGAGAGGGUGAUCGGCCACACUGGAACUGAGACACGGUCCAGACUCCUACGGGAGGCAGCAGUAGGGAAUCUUCCGCAAAGGGCGAAAGCCUGACGGAGCAACGCCGCGUGAGUGAUGAAGGUCUUCGGAUCGUAAAACUCUGUUAUUAGGGAAGAACAAAUGUGUAAGUAACUAUGCACGUCUUGACGGUACCUAAUCAGAAAGCCACGGCUAACUACGUG
rnacentral:rRNA from 1 species